CAACUGCUCUCCUCUCAGGGCCUAGCAUUUGUCUCCAUCUGUUCGGUAUGCGAAACUAGGGAGACAGGGAAAAGACCCACCUGACUCUAGCCAAGUGAGAAAGCCAGCUAAGACACACAGCCUGUGGUUUUAUUCGCCUGACUCAUGAAACUGGACCCUUGUUCUGAAUGGAAACAGGCUGCCUGUCAGGUAGACGGUUAACAACUCGGUAAAUACCUUUAUCGUCUGGAUUUAAACAUACUUCUCUUCACCGCGAGCCUGUUCUUCCUGGUGGAUUGAGAUUUGGUAGAAGAAGGAACCAAGCUGAAGCCAUUUUGAGUAAAGCUUCCAUCUUCAAUAGGGGUCAAAUAACGUUUGGGUUCCCAGGACCUCCUUAGGUAGCUGGUUGUUGGUGUUUUGAGUUGUGUUGGAUCUAAAUGGACCCAUAACAUUUGGUGCGUUGGCCCGGAAUCCACUCACUCUACCCAGGUCCCUGAUUCAAGGCCUCCAGAGGUAAGCCUGUUUCUGGUUUUAUUUAGAGCACCACUGGUUGACUCAUUGAAGGAGGCUGGAGGUAGUACCACUUUCAGAGUCUAAGAGGACUGGGCACACCUAUCUCAUCUGCCUCCUGGGCCUCUCCAUAGGGCAUCUGGUAUGGUCUCUGCUGGUGGGACAUCUGGUUCUCCUCCAUCUCCUCCCCCAGUGUAUUGGUUAUCCUUGGCAGGUGGGUUUGUCCAAGUCUGUCAGUUUGUAUCUGUAGGUUGAUUCAUUUCACUGUUGUUGCUUUCUGUUUUAUAUUCAAGGAAAUGGGCCAAACUUCAUCUGCUGUCCACCCCUUGGUUUAGUCUUAACUCAUUCCAUGCUGUCACUACCACAGAGAGACCAGAACAGUGAACCAAUGCUGUUGCAGGAUGCAGUGCUUGGGCUAGUGGGCAGCUUUCUCCAGUAGGGAAGCCAGCAGCUAGUCCCACUACAGAUCUGCUGUACCCAUGAGAAUCGGAUUAAGCAAGUAGCUAGCUACCCCUCCUUUAAAAUUACAGCUGGGAGAGAUCAGGAAAGUUUUGUCUGUCUGUUUUAAAUCUGUAAAUGCUUGCCUAGCAAGCGCAAGGCCCUGGGUUUGGUCCCCAGCUCCGAAAAAUAGAAAAGAAAAAAACAAAACAAAACUGUAAAUGCUGUGGCCACUACAUGUUUGCUUCUGACUGGUCUUAAAUAAGUGAGUUUA
rnacentral:sRNA from 1 species